AUUGAACGCUGGCGGCAUGCCUUACACAUGCAAGUCGAACGGUAACGGGCCUUCGGGUGCCGACGAGUGGCGAACGGGUGAGUAAUGUAUCGGAACGUACCUUUCAGUGGGGGAUAACGUAGCGAAAGUUACGCUAAUACCGCAUAUUCUGUGAGCAGGAAAGCAGGGGAUCGCAAGACCUUGCGCUGAUUGAGCGGCCGAAAACAGAUUAGCUAGUUGGUGAGGUAAAGGCUCACCAAGGUCACGGUCUGUAGCGGGGCUGAGAGGAUGAUCCGCCACACUGGAACUGAGACACGGUCCAGACUCCUACGGGAGGCAGCAGUGGGGAAUUUUGGACAAUGGGGGCAACCCUGAUCCAGCCAUGCCGCGUGAGUGAAGAAGGCCUUCGGGUUGUAAAGCUCUUUCGGCCGGGAAGAAAUCGUAUCAGCUAAUACCUGGUGCGGAUGACGGUACCGGCAUAAGAAGCACCGGCUAACUACGUGCCAGCCGCCGCGGUAAUAC
rnacentral:rRNA from 1 species